GUUGUAUGGUUAAGUGACUAAGCGUACACGGUGGAUGCCUGGGCAGUCAGAGGCGAUGAAGGACGUACUAACUUGCGAUAAGCGCAGAUAAGGCAGUAAGAGCCGUUUGAGUCUGCGAUUUCCGAAUGGGGAAACCCAACUGCAUAAGCAGUUACUGUUAACUGAAUACAUAGGUUAACAGAGCAAACCGGGGGAACUGAAACAUCUAAGUACCCCGAGGAGAAGAAAUCAACCGAGAUUCCGGUAGUAGCGGCGAGCGAACCUGGAUUAGCCCUUAAGCACUCGGUGAAGUAGGUGAACAAGCUGGAAAGCUUGGCGAUACAGGGUGAUAGCCCCGUAACCGACGCUUCAUCGAGCGUGAAAUCGAGUAGGGCGGGACACGUGAUAUCCUGUCUGAAUAUGGGGGGACCAUCCUCCAAGGCUAAAUACUCCUGACUGACCGAUAGUGAACCAGUACCGUGAGGGAAAGGCGAAAAGAACCCCUGUGAGGGGAGUGAAAUAGAACCUGAAACCGUGUACGUACAAGCAGUAGGAGCACCUUCGUGGUGUGACUGCGUACCUUUUGUAUAAUGGGUCAGCGACUUAUAUUCAGUGGCAAGGUUAACCGUAUAGGGGAGCCGUAGCGAAAGCGAGUCUUAACUGGGCGCUCAGUCUCUGGAUAUAGACCCGAAACCGGGUGAUCUAGCCAUGGGCAGGUUGAAGGUUGAGUAACAUCAACUGGAGGACCGAACCGACUAAUGUUGAAAAAUUAGCGGAUGACUUGUGGCUAGGGGUGAAAGGCCAAUCAAACUCGGAGAUAGCUGGUUCUCCCCGAAAGCUAUUUAGGUAGCGCCUCGGACGAAUACUACUGGGGGUAGAGCACUGUUAAGGCUAGGGGG
rnacentral:rRNA from 1 species